rnacentral:rRNA from 1 species
AAAUUGAAGAGUUUGAUCAUGGCUCAGAUUGAACGCUGGCGGCAGGCCUAACACAUGCAAGUCGAGCGGUAGCACAGAGAGCUUGCUCUCGGGUGACGAGCGGCGGACGGGUGAGUAAUGUCUGGGAAACUGCCUGAUGGAGGGGGAUAACUACUGGAAACGGUAGCUAAUACCGCAUAACGUCGCAAGACCAAAGUGGGGGACCUUCGGGCCUCAUGCCAUCAGAUGUGCCCAGAUGGGAUUAGCUAGUAGGUGGGGUAACGGCUCACCUAGGCGACGAUCCCUAGCUGGUCUGAGAGGAUGACCAGCCACACUGGAACUGAGACACGGUCCAGACUCCUACGGGAGGCAGCAGUGGGGAAUAUUGCACAAUGGGCGCAAGCCUGAUGCAGCCAUGCCGCGUGUGUGAAGAAGGCCUUCGGGUUGUAAAGCACUUUCAGCGGGGAGGAAGGCGGUGAGGUUAAUAACCUCAUCGAUUGACGUUACCCGCAGAAGAAGCACCGGCUAACUCCGUGCCAGCAGCCGCGGUAAUACGGAGGGUGCAAGCGUUAAUCGGAAUUACUGGGCGUAAAGCGCACGCAGGCGGUCUGUCAAGUCGGAUGUGAAAUCCCCGGGCUCAACCUGGGAACUGCAUUCGAAACUGGCAGGCUAGAGUCUUGUAGAGGGGGGGUAGAAUUCCAGGUGUAGCGGUGAAAUGCGUAGAGAUCUGGAGGAAUACCGGUGGCGAAGGCGGCCCCCUGGACAAAGACUGACGCUCAGGUGCGAAAGCGUGGGGAGCAAACAGGAUUAGAUACCCUGGUAGUCCACGCCGUAAACGAUGUCGAUUUGGAGGUUGUGCCCUUGAGGCGUGGCUUCCGGAGCUAACGCGUUAAAUCGACCGCCUGGGGAGUACGGCCGCAAGGUUAAAACUCAAAUGAAUUGACGGGGGCCCGCACAAGCGGUGGAGCAUGUGGUUUAAUUCGAUGCAACGCGAAGAACCUUACCUGGUCUUGACAUCCACAGAACUUUCCAGAGAUGGAUUGGUGCCUUCGGGAACUGUGAGACAGGUGCUGCAUGGCUGUCGUCAGCUCGUGUUGUGAAAUGUUGGGUUAAGUCCCGCAACGAGCGCAACCCUUAUCCUUUGUUGCCAGCGGUUAGGCCGGGAACUCAAAGGAGACUGCCAGUGAUAAACUGGAGGAAGGUGGGGAUGACGUCAAGUCAUCAUGGCCCUUACGACCAGGGCUACACACGUGCUACAAUGGCAUAUACAAAGAGAAGCGACCUCGCGAGAGCAAGCGGACCUCAUAAAGUAUGUCGUAGUCCGGAUUGGAGUCUGCAACUCGACUCCAUGAAGUCGGAAUCGCUAGUAAUCGUAGAUCAGAAUGCUACGGUGAAUACGUUCCCGGGCCUUGUACACACCGCCCGUCACACCAUGGGAGUGGGUUGCAAAAGAAGUAGGUAGCUUAACCUUCGGGAGGGCGCUUACCACUUUGUGAUUCAUGACUGGGGUGAAGUCGUAACAAGGUAACCGUAGGGGAACCUGCGGUUGGAUCACCUCCUUA